GGCCCCGUAGCCAAGUGGUAAGGCAGCGGACUGCAAAUCCGCGAUCCGGCGGUUCGAAUCCGCCCGGGGCCUCUA
rnacentral:tRNA from 1 species